AAAACAUGAGAGGAUCGUUCCCUAUGGAUGACGAUGUACUCUCUGAUAAGAGCGGUGAUGCAAUAUUACUUUAGGGGUCACCCUUGGUGAAGUACGACUGUGACUAUAGUCUUACUGUAGGACCAUUAUGGUUGGCACGACUGUGGUCAUAGGUCGUGUCAUGGUUUGGCAAGCUCUAAAUGUGCUGUUAGUUUGGCAUGCUGUAAAUUGUUGUUAUAAUUGAACUGGUCAUUCCACAUGGGUAGUCGAAAGUUCGUACUGCCCUCAAUAGAUGAAAGUUGGAACAACUUCGCAUGAAAUGACACAAAAAAUUAUGCAUAUAAUGAUUUAUUUGAUUUUCUCCUAUUAUCUGCAUGAUUGAUUUGAUUGAUAUGACUAUGACAUGAUGGAUUUGAUAUUUUCUUUAGUAAAUAAAUCAUUUUCAUAAUUUAAGAAAUGACCCUGACGUGGCUUUUGAUGGUAAGUGUUGAUGACAUAAUU
rnacentral:lncRNA from 1 species